rnacentral:rRNA from 1 species
CGCGGCCUAUCAGCUUGUUGGUGAGGUAACGGCUCACCAAGGCAUCGACGGGUAGCUGGUCUGAGGGGACGAUCAGCCACACUGGGACUGAGACACGGCCCAGACUCCUACGGGAGGCAGCAGUAGGGAAUCUUGCGCAAUGGGCGAAAGCCUGACGCAGCAACGCCGCGUGGGGGAUGAAGGCCUUCGGGUUGUAAACCCCUUUCAGCAGGGACGAAAAUGACGGUACCUGCAGAAGAAGGUCCGGCCAACUACGUGCCAGCAGCCGCGGUAAUACGUAGGGACCGAGCGUUGUCCGGAAUUAUUGGGCGUAAAGAGCUCGUAGGCGGUUCGGUAAGUCGGGUGUGAAAACUCAAGGCUCAACCUUGAGACGCCACCCGAUACUGCUGUGACUAGAGUCCGGUAGAGGAGUGUGGAAUUCCUGGUGUAGCGGUGAAAUGCGCAGAUAUCAGGAGGAACACCAGCGGCGAAGGCGGCACUCUGGGCCGGUACUGACGCUGAGGAGCGAAAGCAUGGGGAGCAAACAGGAUUAGAUACCCUGGUAGUCCAUGCCGUAAACGUUGGGCACUAGGUAUGGGGUCUUAUCAACGGAUUCCGUGCCGUAGCUAACGCAUUAAGUGCCCCGCCUGGGGAGUACGG